AUAAAAAAAACAAGUUAAAAAAUCUCUUUUAUACAGUGACUUGCGACGUAUUUGGGAAAUAAUCCGGAGCUACUCAGCUUUUGUUUUUAAUAACCACAAAGGUGUCAGGUUUCUGCUUGUGCUGGUGUGCAAGGGAGUCUGGCUCAGAAAGAUCAAAUUUCCUUAAGAAUGAGGUCUUCCUAUGCUUUCAAUAUUUCAAUAGCUUUUUUUCAGGUUGUGCUGACAAAUAAAAAAUCAGCAAGAAAAAAUUGAUUGUUGAUAUGAGCAGGUUCUAAGCUAAAUUAAUCUGUACUAUGCAUUUAAUGGUAACUCAUAGAGAAUGUGUAGAACGUCCCAGGUGAGUGCUGGAGGUGUGGCAGGGUGGGACGAGGCUGAUAACUUAAGGUUGUUUGAAGAAAGAAAGAAAAAAAAAAGUAGUUCACUACUUAACAGCGCUGUAACAAACUGGGCCACAGGAUUCUAUCGCAGGUAUUUGAAACAACGCGAUGGAUCGAGAGUACUACAAAUCUCAUACAAUGUCCUGGGGUACCCUUGGAACUGUGCGACCUUUCUCCGGUUUCCAACCACAAAGAGAUGUCAUUCAAAUCCAAAAAGCAAUGGAGAAGAAAGAUGCUGCCCCUCUUGUCCGAAUCCUAACAAAUCGCAAUAAUGCUCAAAGGCAGCAUAUUGCCAAAAUAUACAAAGACACAACACAACAGAACCUAAUAGCUGUCCUGAAAAAAGUUCUGUCUGGAGAUCUGGAAGCUCUCAUGUUGGUAUUGAUGAUGCCUCCCUUGCAGCAUGAGGCUUAUCGCCUACAACAGGCCAUGGCGGGUUUAGGCACAGACGAGGAAACACUUCUGGAGAUUCUGUGUACAAGAUCAGGCAAAGAGCUUCGAGACAUCAGUGCUGCAUAUAAAGAAAUGUGUAAAAAGGACCUGGAGAAGGAAGCCAAAGGAGAAACCAGUGGAGACUUUGCUAAGCUCAUAGUAUCUCUGAUCAAUAAAGAAGAUGUCGCAGGUUUUGUUCAAAAGGACAUUGAGUCUCUUUUGGCAUCACUAAACGAGAAAAAAGCUGACGCAGCUCCUUGGAUUGAUAUUCUCACAUCGAGAGACUUAACUCACCUUAACAAAGUUCUGAUGGGACUGGAACUGGAAAGUGGACACAUGGUGAUUCCAGCUCUGGAGAAAAAAUUCUCCGGGGAUAUUCGUCUGGGUUUGACUGUUCUAGUGGAGUGCAUUCAAAACCCUGAUGCGUACCUUGCCAAAAGAUUAACCGGCAUGAAGGCACCAAUCGUGCAAGGCAUAAUGGUGUCCCACAGUGAGGAAGAUCUACUCAGUAUCAGAGUGGCGUUUCUUAAAAUGACGGGAACUUCUCUCUACACGACCCUGCAGGUGGGGCCAAAGGACCUGGUUCCUGCAACAUGGAUCAACUGAUGAAGAUGCUCACCAGGACCGGAGCAGAGCCGCAUGCUGCGACACUUAUGCUUUGUGGUUUAUUCUACAAGGCAACCUGAGAACACCUGUUCAGUAAGUGAUGAGUCAACAGCGUGACGGGAAAGCAAGAUCAUGUCAAACGGGAUGUUUACACGAUGGAUGCCUUCGAGCGGCGUUACUGGACCGUAUGUGGGAUAUAUUGGGGGCUUGUUGAGGGGGGGUCUGCUAAAAACAUCCACUUCAUAAUCAUAACAUGGCAUGCAAAGUAUUACAUGGGUGGAGUAUGGCGGGUAAAUUUCGAUGAUCAUUUUGAAGAUCCGCAAUGAAAAAUGUGUUUAUUACUGCAACCAGCCACCACUCUCCAUUUACUUCAAUUGCUUCAAGUCAUCUACAAUCAAUUGCAUAUGAUCUAGUAAACUUGGAAUGAUCUUUUAAAUCUAAUUAAAUGUUAUUCUUAAUUUUUUUACUCAAAUUAAUGCAGUGCUUAAUAGCUGUGAUUGGCAUAUUAUUUAUUUAUUGUUAAAUUCUUGCUGCAUGUAAAACAGCUUUUUAUCAAACUUGUGUGACCUGAGGUUAGGGUUAGGGUUAGGGUCAACCUGUGCACAAAAAUAUCUUAUUUCAAGUUUUUUAUUUGUUUGAUUCCACAUCGCCGCGCAAUAAAAAUCUGCUUAGCUUUUGGUAGAUGACGGUCAGUCUGUGAAUAAAGAGCUACAACCCCUU